CCUACGGGAGGCAGCAGUGAGGAAUAUUGGUCAAUGGGCUUACGCCUGAACCAGCCAAGUCGCGUGAGGGAAGACUGCCCUAUGGGUUGUAAACCUCUUUUGUCAGGGAGCAACGCCGGCUACGUGUAGCCGGACUGAGAGUACCUGACGAAAAAGCAUCGGCUAACUCCGUGCCAGCAGCCGCGGUAAUACGGAGGAUGCGAGCGUUAUCCGGAUUGAUUGGGUUUAAAGGGUGCGUAGGCGGAAUGCCAAGUCAGCGGUAAAAUCGCGGGGCUCAACCUCGCUCCGCCGUUGAAACUGGCGUUCUUGAGUGGGCGAGAAGUAUGCGGAAUGCGUGGUGUAGCGGUGAAAUGCAUAGAUAUCACGCAGAACUCCGAUUGCGAAGGCAGCAUACCGGCGCCCAACUGACGCUGAAGCACGAAAGCGUGGGUAUCGAACAGGAUUAGAUACCCCUGUAGUC
rnacentral:rRNA from 1 species